UUGAUUUAUUUAAUCGUGUUACUCAGAAGAUACUAAAAAGAAAUACAAGAGUUUGGGUCCCCCGGCGGGCGCCUGAGUCCGGGCCCGAAGGCACCGGGGCGGAUCCGCCGAAGCAACGAUAGGUAUGUUCACAGGGGUUUGGGAGUUGUAAACUCGGUAAUGAUCCCUCCGCUGGUUCACCAACGGAGA
rnacentral:misc_RNA from 1 species